rnacentral:rRNA from 1 species
UACGAAGGGGGCUAGCGUUGCUCGGAAUCACUGGGCGUAAAGGGCGCGUAGGCGGACUUUUAAGUCGGGGGUGAAAGCCCAGGGCUCAACCCUGGAAUUGCCUUCGAUACUGAGAGUCUUGAGUUCGGAAGAGGUUGGUGGAACUGCGAGUGUAGAGGUGAAAUUCGUAGAUAUUCGCAAGAACACCAGUGGCGAAGGCGGCCAGCUGGUCCGAUACUGACGCUGAGGCGCGAAAGCGAGGGGAGCAAACAGG